GCAGCCGCGGUAAUACGUAGGGGGCUAGCGUUAUCCGGAUUUACUGGGCGUAAAGGGUGCGUAGGUGGUUUCUUAAGUCAGGAGUGAAAGGCUACGGCUUAACCGUAGUAAGCUCUUGAAACUGGGAAACUUGAGUGCAGGAGAGGAAAGUGGAAUUCCUAGUGUAGCGGUGAAAUGCGUAGAUAUUAGGAGGAACACCAGUAGCGAAGGCGGCUUUCUGGACUGUAACUGACACUGAGGCACGAAAGCGUGGGGAGCAAACAGGAUUAGAUACCCC
rnacentral:rRNA from 1 species